GCCGGCCCUGACCUGCCACCUGCCCCCGCCUCUUCACACCUGCGAGAUGCCGAUGCUCGGGCCCGGACCUAGGCGCGCCCGCCCAGAUGGGGAGAUCCAUCUGUCCACCGUGUCAGCCCCGCACAGGCCGAUCUGGAGCUGCCUUGGACCUCUGGGUAGGACUGCUGGACAAAUAUACAAACAUCACUGUGUUGUGUUGCAUCCUGUUAUAGCCCGUGAUUGAUUAAACAGGACUCACUAGUUCCGUUUCACCCUGGCUUUCUAAAUCAGUGGCUAAACUGUUGUAUUGUUAUUUCUAGGUUGUAGCCUUCAGAUUAACAUGUAGAAGUCCAGAAUGUAUGUCUCAAACUUCCUUUUUAUGCUGUGUCUUCAGUAGAAUAAAGAUGCAAGUAGUCACAUUAAAAGUAGAGUUUAUUUACCUCAUUGUAUCACAGAGGUUUUAACUCAGUGUUGAAUUCUUGCAAUCUUCGUGUAAACUGUUAUUUGGUUAUACCACUUCUGGUAUUUAAAAAUGUCUGUUUGGUCUUUAGUUAAAUUGGUCAAGUUAUGUAAGACACAUGUUUAGGCUUUCUUUUGUGCAAUGCAGACUCUGUUAGUCCACCCUGAGAGAAGCGCAGUUUGAAAUAAAAGCUGAUGCAUUCUGUGUCA